rnacentral:rRNA from 1 species
UUUGAACGCUGGCGGCAUGCUUUACACAUGCAAGUCGAACGGCAGCGCGGGCUUCGGCCUGGCGGCGAGUGGCGAACGGGUGAGUAAUGCAUCGGAACGUGCCCAGUAGUGGGGGAUAGCCCGGCGAAAGCCGGAUUAAUACCGCAUACGACCUGAGGGUGAAAGCGGGGGACCGAAAGGCCUCGCGCUAUUGGAGCGGCCGAUGUCGGAUUAGCUAGUUGGUGGGGUAAAGGCUUACCAAGGCGACGAUCCGUAGCUGGUCUGAGAGGACGACCAGCCACACUGGGACUGAGACACGGCCCAGACUCCUACGGGAGGCAGCAGUGGGGAAUUUUGGACAAUGGGGGCAACCCUGAUCCAGCCAUGCCGCGUGCGGGAAGAAGGCCUUCGGGUUGUAAACCGCUUUUGUUCGGGAAGAAAUCCUCUGGGCUAAUACCCCGGGGGGAUGACGGUACCGGAAGAAUAAGCGCCGGCUAACUACGUG